AGAUAUUGCUGAAUUUCAACACUUAGAAACAAACAUGAUUGAAGCAAAUGAAAAAUCUCUUGGAAAAUCGGAUGAUGUUGUUGCAGUUAUUUUCAACGACCAACUGCCAAAACAACGAGCAAAUGAUGUUAACAACCUAACCUGUUCUUGGGCCCAAUGUAUUGUAAGAUGUGCUCCACAAAUUGGAUUGUGUGUUAGGGGAGCGUGCAUCUGCAAAUAAUCUAAUCAACAGGAAACCUGCCAAGGGAAGCCAUGUGCCAGUCAAUUUUAUUGUCAACUCUGUUGUGAAGGAUCAGCA